rnacentral:lncRNA from 1 species
AUGCUGGAGUGGGUUGCCAUUCCCUUCUCCAGGGGCUCUUCCCGACCCAGGGAUGGAGCUCUGGAAGGAGAACCCAGGGUCUCCUGCACUGCCGACGGAUUCUUUACCGUCCGAGCCACUAAACUACCAAACCCUGUCUCGGCGUGCGCGCUGGACACCGCCGCGGGGCGAGCAUCAGCCAGCCCACCUUCCGACAGCCGCCAAGCGGCUGUGGGGAGACGGAAGAAAAAUAAAGGAAUCAUAGCUUUAUUUGAAAACUGUUUUACGUGGAUAAUGUGCAACUAAGCCUGGAAAGCCUUAGUACUCCCCACUUCUGCAAGAAGUUUUUAAGGUUCAAGAAUCAAAAAGGUAAAUUAAAAUAUGGCUGUCAUUUUUGUUUCAGGUGAAUGGUUUGUAAGUAUUAUAUCAAUAGUAUUGUAUUUUAAUGGUCUGUACUAGGCACCAGAAAAUAGAUACAAUCUUGUUAAUAAAAUGCUUACAAAUGUCCACAUGAAUGAGAAUUAAUCAGCUUAUAUAAUUUUUUUCAUGUGGUGACAGAAAAUAAUCACUGGGCACAGAGCUAAAGCAAAUUCAUAAAAAGUGAAGUCAUUAAGUGAACAUCAGACUUUACAAAUCUUUCAGUAAAAGCUCACUAGUAAAUACAAAUGCUUUUAUUAUUUGCUCUGUUUGCUCUUCCUGUCAUCUCACCCAUAAAACACUUUUUAAACCAAAGUAAACCUUGAUAAAUAAGUGUUCACUCACAGAUAAAUCAAGGGGCAAUACUAUCCCUUAAUGACAUGAAGAAAUUUAGUAUCCAGGUCUGUGAGAGAGACCGGCCUGUCAAACCCUUCCUGAAUUGGGUCUUGUCAAGUUUUGCUGUCAGUGUUUUGCUGGACAAGACUAAGGUAUAUGGAAGACCUUCGAAAAGUUGUAUAAUAUGGCAUUAUUUUUCCUUAAAUGUUUGGUAGAAUUCAUCCGUGAAACCAUCUGGGCAUGGAGGUUUCUUUAUGGCAUGGUUUCACAUAACAGGUUCACUGUAUUUAAGAGACACAGAGUUCGACAGAGUUUCUGUUUCUUUCUCUGUUGGUUUUGGUAAGAAGUGUGUGUGCGUGUGUGUGUGUGUGUGUGUGUGUGUGUUUAAAUAGAAGUAUGUUCAUUCUGUCUAAUCUUUUAACUUCACUAGUGUACAGUCAUUUAUAAAAUCUCAUAUUUUUAAUGUAGUUUGUAAGGAUUUCUUCUU